UACGGAGGGUGCAAGCGUUGUCCGGAUUUAUUGGGUUUAAAGGGUGCGUAGGCGGCCCUGUAAGUCAGUGGUGAAAGCCUCCAGCUCAACUGGAGAACUGCCAUUGAUACUGCAGGGCUUGAGUACAGACGAGGUUGGCGGAAUUGAUUGUGUAGCGGUGAAAUGCAUAGAUACAAUCAAGAACUCCGAUUGCGUAGGCAGCUAACUAGGCUGUAACUGACGCUGAGGCACGAAAAGCGUGGGGAGCGAACAGG
rnacentral:rRNA from 1 species